GGGGAUGUAAUUCAGCCUGGUAAAACCCGUUUCGACCGGCUAGUCAGGGGUUCAACUCCCCUCGUCCCCA
rnacentral:tRNA from 1 species